GUGUCAGCAGCCGCGGUAAUACAGAGGGUGCAAGCGUUAAUCGGAAUUACUGGGCGUAAAGCGCGCGUAGGUGGUUUGUUAAGUUGGAUGUGAAAUCCCCGGGCUCAACCUGGGAACUGCAUUCAAAACUGACUGACUAGAGUGUGGUAGAGGGUGGUAGAAUUUCCUGUGUAGCGGUGAAAUGCGUAGAUAUAGGAAGGAACACCAGUGGCGAAGGCGACCACCUGGACCAACACUGACACUGAGGUGCGAAAGCGUGGGGGGCAAACAGGAUUAGAUACCCCUGUAGUCC
rnacentral:rRNA from 1 species